CUCACUAGGAGGAAGCAGACUCUCUCCCUCCGCUUCAACUCUUAUCUCAUGAUGAAAAAAAGCAAGGAUGCCCAAGUUAUGCUUUCCCAGCCAAUGGAGAAGCAUCCUGAGCCUCACAUGACUGUGUUUCCCCCUGUCUUUCACAUGGGCAGUAUUUUAGUUCUUCAAUUCAGAACUGCAAGCGAGAAACAGCCCGCAACUGGGGAUGAUGCCUGCGCGCCAGUGACUGACUUCCGAGUGACUUUGCGAAGACUUUGCCGUCGUUUCUCCCGGCAUCCGAAAUUGAAAUAAAAUUAAAUUGAAAAAAAAAACACAAACCCUCUGGAAUUCUUCUUUGGUAUUCUCACGCCAGACGCGCAGCUGGAGAGGAGGACGGAGUGACUUGCUCAGAAACGGCAGCAGGAAACGAGUGAAUUGGACAAAAUAGAUCUCCAGGAAAGUGAGCUCAAGGCACCUGGGUCUGGCAUCUUCUGCAUCAGCUCAAGAGGAGCACAUGAGGAAGGUUAUCCAGUCUCCAAGACUAUCAGCCAACCUUCAAUACCACCAAGGUGUAGUUCAAGAGGAUUUUCAAGACCUAUAGGCCAUGAAAUGGGAUAAAUAUUAAUGGAGGCAUCAGGAACAUGGAGAAGAUGAAGAACUUAAAUUGUAAAUGGUUGCAAAGUAACUACCACCUUUGAUAUGCACGCAACAGGAAUCAGGUGCACCUUUUCCAAAUCCAGCAGAAACGGAUCACUGGAAAUGCACACUUUCAGGAUGGAUCCUGUGAAGUCAGUGGAAUUCUGCGUUCUUGUGGUUGCUUCAGUGAACAUUCAACGCUGUCGGUGAGUUUGGGAUUAACGUGAAAACCAUCGACCGUUGAUUGUACCCUCCAGCUAACCAUCCUCUUCUUCCUCACUUUUCGCUGAAGAUUAUCACAAAACCAGCACACAAGGGGGUUUUUUUGCUUUCACUUGCAGAGCUUCGCACAUUAAAAAAAGGUCACAAUCAACAUUCAUUGCUGUCGGUGGGUUUAACUAUGUGGACAAGCUCACUGAACAAUGAAUGCAACUGUGGCCCCGCUUUUUACAAUCACAGUCAAGAGGAACACAGGCUUUGAAAGCAACACUUGAAGUGGAUACCUUUCACUGAAAAACUACCAUGAUCAUGUCAAGAGACUGCAGUAUUGUCAAACUCUAUCUGGAGGGAAGAGGGAAACAUCAGGCUUUAGUUGUUCAGAUAUUGUACAGAUUAUGGUCAUUUACUCAGUGUCUGUCUGGGUCUUUCACUGGCCCAAAUCCUCAGGUUACAUUAAAGUAUUCUGUGUAUCCAGUAUUCUGCUGUUGUUAUAACUUAGUAAAGAAUAAGGUUGCUUUCAUUGUGCUGUCUAAUGAGGAAAAUCACAGGUGUUUGACACACUUGCUAAGUCUAUUCUCAACAAACUGUUCUGGGAGUUGUGUGAAUUAAAGUUAUACAUAACGUAGA